rnacentral:lncRNA from 1 species
UUGAUAUUCAAAUCAGUAUUGUAGAUAUGUACAGUAUAAAGUAAUAUGUACAGUGUUUUUAAUAUGUUUAUGAAGAAAAGAAGACAGUGUAUAGGGUAUGUGUCUGCUGAAUGUUGAUGGCCUUAUGUAUAUAUCACCAAGUAAUUCCUGUUCAUUUACCUUGGGUGAUUUGGUUACUCAGUUAAAUUGAAUAAAAUUGAACAUAUAUUCAACAAAUUUGUGUGAAAGAG